ensembl:lncRNA
AUGACCCCACCGGCCGCAGGCAGGGAGGCGGAGAGUCGCUACGCCAGGGAGCCAAUAUCCUACUCCACCCUGGACUCCACUGGCCACUGUUUUGGGGUCCUCGAGCAGCAGGGCAGAAGAGCCGACACCGCUGAGAGCGCUCGGCCUGCUGCAGAGUUCCCCGUGUCCAGCCUCGGCAUCGCGGUGCCUCCACCAUCAGUCCCCACCCUGCGGACCGCCUCCAACCCCAUCAACGGCAGCCCGCCGCCGCCGCCGCCUCCUCCGCCUCCGGCCGAUUUGGACCCGAGUAUGCCCGCUCCCCCUCCACCACCACCUCCCCCCUCCGACGCGGACAACGGCCUCCCACCGCCUCCGCCCUUCUUGACGUCACCCACGGCUCUCCCGCCACCUCCCCCUCCCCCACCAAUGUGUCUGUCAAAUGGCUCCUACCCGCCUCCACCUCCACCACCACCGCCGCCCCUUCACACGGGCACCUCUGGUGCGGUGCCACCGCCCCCUCCGCCACCACCUCCCCCAGUAUCAGGAGCUGCACUCCCGCCACCACCCCCGCCUCCUCUUCCACCGCCCCUUCACACGGGCACCUCCGGUACGGUGCCACCACCCCCUCCGCCUCCCCCUCCGCCUCCCCCCCUGAGACGCUAA